AUGUUCAUCGUCUUACUGCUCAUUCUCGGCUUCGAGCCAUUUGCUGCCGCCGGCGAUCCACUGGAGCAGAUCUGCAACACCAGCAUCCCCUAUAAUAGCACCUACCAAGCUAACCUUGAGCUCCUAUCUACUGUGCUAUCCAGGAAUGCCUCAUCCACAGGAACCAACCAGCCCAAGGGCUUCGUCCGAACUGACCAAGACCCCAUUUAUGGCGUCGCACAGUGCCCCGGCGACACCAUCGCAUCUGCAUGCUCCAGCUGCAUCACCACCGCGUUCCAUGAUGCUUGGCGGCUCUGCGGAUCGCAAAUGGACAUGCAUUUCUUGUAUGGGGACUGCAUCGUCCACGUCUCCACUGAGGACCUUGUCUACAACUCCAGUUUUAUCACCAACUUCACCGACGCCAGCAUUGAUGGCAACAUCAAGGUGCUGCUCCAAGAGACAGCCAAACAGGCAGCCUACAACUCUACAAUGAUGUACGCCACCGGCCGCCUGGAUUUAUCCGAGGGACUGCCGCUGCUGUACUCUAUGGCGCAGUGCAACCUGGACCUACGACCAAAUGACUGCUGGGAUUGCCUCGACAAUAUCAGGAGCGCAGCAAGGGGUUCCUUCCACGAGCAACAUGGUGAAUGGAUUGCUGGUGUUUGGUGUAAUUUCAGGUACAGCACGUAUCAGUUCUACAAUGACCAGCCCACGAAGAAGACCGGCUGGUCAGAUGUUACUAUAUUAUAUGUUGAAAUAUUCUUUAUAACAUGCAGAAAAUGUCCAUUUUUCAACACUAAACUAUUACAAAACUCUCAGGAAGAUGAAGAGCUAGUCUGGGGGAUAGGGAGGAGUUCGGAGCUCAAGCUUUUUAACUUUUCACAACUAUCAGAUGCUACGAGUAACUUCUCAGAUGAAAAUAAAUUGGGGCAAGGUGGCUUUGGCCCAGUAUACAAGGGCCAGCUUCCUGAAGGUUUGGAAAUAGCAAUUAAGAGACUAGCUUCGCAGUCUGGGCAGGGUUUCACAGAGUUUAAAAAUGAAGUCCAACUCAUAGCCAAGCUCCAGCACACAAAUUUGGUUAGGCUAUUGGGAUGUUGCUCUCAAGGAGAAGAGAAAAUAUUAAUCUAUGAAUAUUUGGCAAAUAAAAGCUUGGAUUUCUUUAUCUUUGAUGAAACUAAAAAGGCUUUAUUGGAAUGGAACAAAAGAAAAGCGAUUAUCGAAGGGAUCGCACAAGGACUUCUAUAUUUGCAUAAACACUCUCGAUUACGUGUCAUACAUAGAGAUCUUAAAGCAAGCAACAUCCUUUUGGACAUUGAAAUGAAUCCCAAAAUAUCAGAUUUUGGGCUUGCAAAAAUAUUCAGUUCAAAUGAUACUGAAGGGAACACAAAAAGGAUUGCUGGGACAUAUGGGUAUAUGGCUCCCGAGUAUGCUUCAGAGGGUCUCUUCUCAAUCAAAUCUGAUGUAUUCAGCUUUGGUGUGCUGAUUCUCGAGAUCAUCAAUGGAAAAAGAAACUCGUGUUUCCAUCAAAAUGGGGACUUCUUCAACCUUCUUGGAUAUGCAUGGAAGUUGUGGAAAGAGGAAAGAUGGCUGGAGUUCGUCGAUGAAUCAAUAGUUUCAGAGUCUGACAUGUUAGAGACAAUGAGGUGUAUCAACAUCGCACUGCUCUGUGUGCAAGAGAAUGCGGUUGACAGACCCAGCACAACAAGUGUGGUUGCGAUGCUAAGCAGCGAAACUAUGGCCCUGCCUGAACCUAAGCAUCCAGCGUAUUUCGGUUACGGAGGAAGAGCCACCUAG
rnacentral:rRNA from 1 species